CCUACGGGUGGCAGCAGUGAGGAAUAUUGGUCAAUGGACGAGAGUCUGAACCAGCCAAGUAGCGUGAAGGAUGACUGCCCUAUGGGUUGUAAACUUCUUUUAUAUGGGAAUAAAACGUUCCACGUGUGGGAUUUUGUAUGUACCAUAUGAAUAAGGAUCGGCUAACUCCGUGCCAGCAGCCGCGGUAAUACGGAGGGUCCGAUCGUUAUCCGGAUUUAUUGGGUUUAAAGGGAGCGUAGGUGGAUUGUUAAGUCAGUUGUGAAAGUUUGCGGCUCAACCGUAAAAUUGCAGUUGAAACUGGCAGUCUUGAGUACAGUAGAGGUGGGCGGAAUUCGUGGUGUAGCGGUGAAAUGCUUAGAUAUCACGAAGAACUCCGAUUGCGAAGGCAGUUCACUGGACUGCAACUGACACUGAGGCUCGAAAGUGUGGGUAUCAAACAGGAUUAGAUACCCGAGUAGUC
rnacentral:rRNA from 1 species